rnacentral:rRNA from 1 species
CUAUCUGUUUAAUUAUGGCAGCAGGAAGUUAUAAUUAUACCAACCGCAUAAAAUUUUUAUAGUUUUGUUUAAUAAUGUUAAUCUUAGAAUAAUUAGCGGUUAAUAUUUUAUUUAGACUAUCGUUUUUUAGGGGUAUAUUUUAUAAAGGGGAUUGGACACAGUGCCAGCAUCUGCGGUUA